GCUUACGGCCAUACCAGCCUGGGUACGCCCGAUCUUGUCUGAUCUCGGAAGCUAAGCAGGGUCGGGCCUGGUUAGUACUUGGAUGGGGAGACAGCCUGGGAAUACCAGGUGCUGUAAGCA
rnacentral:rRNA from 1 species